GGAUAUAAGGGCGAUCUGUUUGGGACUUCUGUCACUCCAUUGAUCGCCAGUGUUGAUUCAGCUGAUCUGGCUGCUUAGGUGGGUGUCCCCUUCCUCCCUCACCACUCCAUGUGCAUCCUUCCUGAAGCUGCAUGCUCAAAGAGGACGACCACCCCCAAUAGAGGAGGACUGGUCUUCAGUCAAGGAUAUAUGAGUAGCUGCACUCCCCUGCUUGUGCCUCCAAAGAAGCUCUCAAGAUUAAGCCAAUGGAUAUUCCUGCAGAAGAUAAAGUUGGAGAGCAAAGCUAUGAUUUUAUACCCUUUU
rnacentral:snRNA from 1 species